CUUCCCAUCAGCCCUUGAGGCUGCAGGGACCAGCCCUUUGUACAGUGGAGAAGCCCAGGCGGCCUAGAAUCCAGUGUCGUCCGUGAGUGCUUGGCUGGUGUUCAAGUGCAUCUUCCAGCCUGAGACCGCGUGGACUCGCUCAUCGUGAGGGCGAGAGGAGGAUAAGCCCAUUGGGCUGUCGGCUGAGAGUGAGACCAUCCACAAUAUUGUUUGAACAUCUGAAGACAUGGGGAACUUGCCAUCUGAUAUCUGAUAACAGACUUCCUGUAAAGCAGGACUGGUAGUUUCCUGAUAACAAAUUCUUCAAUAUGAAGAUUGCUGAUGAAAUCCUUGGCAUCGUCGGAGAUCUCAUCGAAUGCCUCGUCGUCGAAGUCCCAGGUGGCUGAGGUAACGUUGGCCAAGGUUUCGUUAUCGUUGUCUCCCAUGAAGGGGGAAAGGCCACUGACUCUGGAGAGACAAGAGCAGGACAGCAGGUGUGGCUAGGAGAGGGCGCGACGACCAGAUGAGGGAAUUGAGGCACAGCCCAGGCUCAAGUCACCUGCCCAAAGAUUCACAGCCAGUGAGAUUGGAAGCCAGGUAUCUGCCUCUAGAGCCUGUCCUCUUAAAUGCUAUACUAUCCUAACAUUUCUGUAAAGAUGAAGUAAAUUGCAGUGUUCAGCACUGGCACCAGGCCUGGUCCACAGUAAGGAGGCGGUCCAUGCCCGGAGAUCUCAUGCAGUUCUGCUGGGUUCCCUCCACUGCCUUACCAAGCUGUGAGUGCAGGAAUGACUUUGUGACCAGCAGCUUAAGCCAAAUAAACUUUAUAAGGUAAAGAAUUUCAAAACAAA
rnacentral:lncRNA from 1 species